AUCGAACGUUAGCAUUAGCCGUCCUAUGGGAAAUUCCAUUAAACGUUAGCAUCAAGCUAGCAGACUUUAGCUAUAUGCCUUAGAUUAAGCUUCUACUUUUGGAUUGAUUAUUGAGCUAGUAAGCUUAGAUUGGUUCAGACCGAUUGAUCAAUUUUAUCAGCCCAGCUCUACAAACUAUGAGCUGUUUCUACCUAUAGAAGUCCUAAACCCCAUAGUAGUUCCUAGAAACUAAUUUUUUUAUGACAAUUUUUACAUGUCAAGUACUUUAUAUUUUUAUAUAAUUAAAAUGUUGAAAUUAACUAAAAUAAAAUGAAAUAUGGAAUAUUUGCUCUUGUUAAUAAAAUUGAUUUACAAAGGAAAAAAAUCUUUAUCGAUCCCAGCUUUUCUUCUCAAACCUAAAAGAGUUAAUACAGAAUGUCAUUUUUUCUGACAUAGAAUUAUAUUUGUGUUGGCUGGAAAACGUAUUAUAUAAUAAACCGUCCCAUAAAUGAAAAGAUUUUCUAGCUUUUCCACUCUGGAGAACGUCCAGUGGAUCUGAUGAGACAAAGGAGAAGCGUUUGAUCUAAAAAAAGAAGCACAAGGAGGAGAAGAAGAAGAAGCUAAAUGCGAAACAAACAUCUUGAACUGGUCGAGAACCAGAUGGAAGCCUCUUUGGUAUUUUAAGAAGGCAGUCUCAGAAUGAUUUCCGAGGAACUUCCGCAAAGCGAGGCUUGUUUUUCAGGUGCCCUCUGAUGUUUCCCGUCAACACUGACAUGCUGAGUCACAGAGACGUUUAUUUUUGUUUCCAAGGAGACUGAAGAUAACAUUUCCAGAACGAGCCACAUAAGCAUGAUGAUCAGUUCACCGUAUCCCCAGCUCCACUGGGAGCCCCUCUGGGACUCGGGGUAAUGUGCCUCGGACGGACUCCAGCAUUUAAACACUGUAAUAAGAGCCAGAGCAGGAUAUUAGCUAAAUUACACAUGAAAGCAGGGAUAUUUAAAGGAAGCUUGAAAACAAAAUAUGAUGAAUUAUGGUCGAAUACAAGAGGAUACGUAAAGAAUAAUACAGACUUGGACGCAGAAGAAAAAGUUGUUUUUCUAAUACAUGACUGUGCUUUUAAUUCGAAUGGACAGAUGUCCAUUUAAAUGAAUGGACCAAAUCUUAUGGCUGUACAUUAGGGUUUGAAAAAUAGGCAAAAAUAAAAUACAUUUUUUUAGCAGCAUCUACAAUAAAAAAAUGAAUAUUUGUGUUUUACAUGCAUUUUUAUGUAGUUUAACCAUUUUGUGCUGCAUUUCAAUGGAAUGGGGGUAGGGGGGCAUAAAGUUAGAACUGUGGAUGUGACAGGAUCUCUUUAAAUCAGAUUUUUUUUUCUUCUUUAUUCCAUCACUGUGUUGGUGAUGAUAAUUCUGAUAUAAACAAAGGGAGAAAAAAAUACUUUUAUCUGACAAAAUCUCAAUUUUGUUGGUAUUUCCUGCACAUAAAAGCAGCAGCUUGUUUAGCAAUAUAUUUUCCCUCCAUUUUUUUUUCCAAAAAAUGUUGGGAAACUUGGAUUUGGUUUGUAAAGACAAACGUUGCAGAAUUCAUACGUAUUAUUAUCUAGUGUCCUCCUGAGAAAAGAUAUUAGUAGACUUAAUUUUUGCCAAAUUUCAACUGAGUUUAAAACAUUUAAACUUUUUCUUGUUUUUUUUAUGUGAAAGUCCAGGUAACACAUACAAAAUAAAACCAUUAGAACAGGCGUCUUGUAAUUCAAUAUAUUUUAGAUUAGAGGAGAAUUUGCCAAACAUGUUAAAAAGCAUUAAAAGACUGAAAUGUACAGUAUAGCUGAUCUACAGCUUUAAAUACUGGGGGUGUGUAUCGGCAAGAGUCUGGUGAUAUGAUUCAUAUUGCAAUAAAUGACUCAAAAUACGACUGUUCUGGCAUAAUUUUGGCAUAAUUUUUCACUCUUUUUUUC